CCCGGGUGUAAAUCUCAGUGAUCAAGCCUGUGUAAAAUUCAACUUCCAUCCCCUCACUACUUCAUAGCCAAUCACUGUCAAGUAUCAAGGUCACAUGUACUUCCACAGCCUAUCAGCUAGGUAUAUUAGCUGGAGUAAGGAAGUAGGAAAGUAAGGACAUGUUGGGAGAAGCAGAGCUGCAGGAGCUAACUACUUUGCCAGGAUAGGAUGGGGAGAAAAACCUGUUGUGAGACAUAAACUUUGGAAUUGGCCAGGUUUGAUGGCGAGCUGAAGAUCCAGGCCUAGAGCCCAAGAAAGAUUUGCACUUUGGCAUGCGUGCGUGAAGACUUGUUGAUCUCCUGCCAGACUGGUAGGAGGCUCCUUGCAGCCAGCGAACAGUUCUGUUCUACCCUGAUCUGACUUGAGUCAGUUAGGACCUGAACUGCACCAAGCACUUUAAAAGAACUUGCUUGGGACCUUUAACCAACCCCAGCUUGGGGUGAAUGAACUGAAGGGUGUGGGUUCAUUAAUUGUAGAAUUGAUUAAUGUUUUUUCUGUUUAUUUUGUUUUUUUCUUUUGCGCAUUUUAUAUGGCCAUUUGAAUGUUUCACUGUUGUAAAUAUGUAUAUAAUUGUCUACACUAUAAAUACAAAGGCACUCGCAACUGCAA